CCACACAUAACUAAGCAUAGAUAGAAAUUCUCGAAAAUAAUAUAUAUCAACUCAAGAUACUCUCAACAUGCCAAAACCCAAAUAUAUUGCAAUUACUUUACAAAAAUAUCAAAUUUCAACUAUUAAUUAUAUAAUAGAUUCAAUGAACCAUUAAAUCAUUAUGCAUAGUUUUUCCGUCAUAAAAUAAUGCUUAUUAUAUGAAAACAAAGUCCACUCACUAGUAGUCCCACGCUACUUGACCC
rnacentral:lncRNA from 1 species